rnacentral:rRNA from 1 species
AAGUUGUCCGCGUGGGGGAGUGCGGUCGCAAGAUUACAAAUCAAAGGAAUUGGCGGGGCCCCGCACAAGCGGUGGAUGAUGUGUAUUAAUUUGAUGCGACAAGAAAAAACCUUACCUCCCCUCGUCACGUACGGAAUGCAGAAGAGAUUGGGGAGUGCUCGCAAGAGAACCCCAACACAGGCGUGGCAUGGCUGUCGUCAGCUCGUGUGGUGAGAGGUUAGGUUAAGUCCCGCAACGAGCGCAACCCUUGUCUUUAGUUCAUACGAAAGGGCACUUUAAUGAGACUGCCGGUGACAAACCGGAGGAAGGUGGGGAUGACGUCAAGUCCUCAUGGCCCUUAUGGGUAGGGCUUCACACGUCAUACAAUGGUCGGUACAGAGGGUUGCCAACCCGCGAGGGGGAGCCAAUCCCAGAAAGCCGAUCGUAGUCCGGAUUGUAGUCUGCAACUCGACUACAUGAAGUCGGAAUCGCUAGUAAUCGCGGAUCAGCAUGUCGCGGUGAAUACGUUCCCGGGUCUUGUACACACCGCCCGUCACACCAUGGGAGUGGGUUUCACCAGAAGUAGUUAGCCUAACCGCAAGGAGGGCGAUUACCACGGUGGGAUUCAUGACUGGGGUGAAGUCGAGCAAGAGCCUAAGCCC